UUAAGCGACUAAGCGUACACGGUGGAUGCCCUGGCAGUCAGAGGCGAUGAAGGACGUGCUAAUCUGCGAAAAGCGUCGGUAAGGUGAUAUGAACCGUUAUAACCGGCGAUGUCCGAAUGGGGAAACCCAGUGUGAUUCGUCACACUAUCGUUAACUGAAUACAUAGGUUAACGAGGCGAACCGGGGGAACUGAAACAUCUAAGUACCCCGAGGAAAAGAAAUCAACCGAGAUUCCCCCAGUAGCGGCGAGCGAACGGGGAGCAGCCCAGAGUCUGAAUCAGCUUGUGUGUUAGUGGAACGGUCUGGAAAGUCCGACGGUACAGGGUGAUAGUCCCGUACACCAAAAUGCACAGGYUGUGAACUCGAAGAGUAGGGCGGGACACGUGGUAUCCUGUCUGAAUAUGGGGGGACCAUCCUCCAAGGCUAAAUACUCCUGACUGACCGAUAGUGAACCAGUACCGUGAGGGAAAGGCGAAAAGAACCCCGGCGAGGGGAGUGAAAAAGAACCUGAAACCGUGUACGUACAAGCAGUGGGAGCACCUUCGGGUGUGACUGCGUACCUUUUGUAUAAUGGGUCAGCGACUUAUAUUCUGUAGCAAGGUUAACCGUAUAGGGGAGCCGCAGGGAAACCGAGUCUUAACUGGGCGUUAAGUUGCAGGGUAUAGACCCGAAACCCGGUGAUCUAGCCAUGGGCAGGUUGAAGGUUGGGUAACACUAACUGGAGGACCGAACCGACUAAUGUUGAAAAAUUAGCGGAUGACUUGUGGCUGGGGGUGAAAGGCCAAUCAAACCGGGAGAUAGCUGGUUCUCCCCGAAAGCUAUUUAGGUAGCGCCUCGUGAAYUCAUCUUCGGGGGUAGAGCACUGUUUCGGCUAGGGGGUCAUCCCGACUUACCAACCCGAUGCAAACUACGAAUACCGAAGAAUGUUAUCACGGGAGACACACGGCGGGUGCUAACGUCCGUCGUGAAGAGGGAAACAACCCAGACCGCCAGCUAAGGUCCCAAAGUCAUGGUUAAGUGGGAAACGAUGUGGGAAGGCACAGACAGCCAGGAUGUUGGCUUAGAAGCAGCCAUCAUUUAAAGAAAGCGUAAUAGCUCACUGGUCGAGUCGGCCUGCGCGGAAGAUGUAACGGGGCUAAACCAUGCACCGAAGCUGCGGCAGCGACACUAUGUGUUGUUGGGUAGGGGAGCGUUCUGUAAGCCUGCGAAGGUGUGCUGUGAGGCAUGCUGGAGGUAUCAGAAGUGCGAAUGCUGACAUAAGUAACGAUAAAGCGGGUGAAAAGCCCGCUCGCCGGAAGACCAAGGGUUCCUGUCCAACGUUAAUCGGGGCAGGGUGAGUCGACCCCUAAGGCGAGGCCGAAAGGCGUAGUCGAUGGGAAACAGGUUAAUAUUCCUGUACUUGGUGUUACUGCGAAGGGGGGACGGAGAAGGCUAUGUUAGCCGGGCGACGGUUGUCCCGGUUUAAGCAUGUAGGCUGRUUGUCCAGGCAAAUCCGGAUAAUCAAGGCUGAGGUGUGAUGACGAGGCACUACGGUGCUGAAGUAACAAAUGCCCUGCUUCCAGGAAAAGCCUCUAAGCAUCAGGUAACAUYAAAUCGUACCCCAAACCGACACAGGUGGUCAGGUAGAGAAUACCAAGGCGCUUGAGAGAACUCGGGUGAAGGAACUAGGCAAAAUGGUGCCGUAACUUCGGGAGAAGGCACGCUGGUGUGUAGGUGAAGYCCCUGCGGGUGGAGCUGAGACCAGUCGAAGAUACCAGCUGGCUGCAACUGUUUAUUAAAAACACAGCACUGUGCAAACACGAAAGUGGACGUAUACGGUGUGACGCCUGCCCGGUGCCGGAAGGUUAAUUGAUGGGGUUAUCCGUAAGGAGAAGCUCUUGAUCGAAGCCCCGGUAAACGGCGGCCGUAACUAUAACGGUCCUAAGGUAGCGAAAUUCCUUGUCGGGUAAGUUCCGACCUGCACGAAUGGCGUAAUGAUGGCCAGGCUGUCUCCACCCGAGACUCAGUGAAAUUGAACUCGCUGUGAAGAUGCAGUGUACCCGCGGCAAGACGGAAAGACCCCGUGAACCUUUACUAUAGCUUGACACUGAACAUUGAGCCUUGAUGUGUAGGAUAGGUGGGAGGCUUUGAAGCGUGGACGCCAGUCUGCGUGGAGCCAACCUUGAAAUACCACCCUUUAAUGUUUGAUGUUCUAACGUUGGCCCCUKACCGGGGUUGCGGACAGUGUCUGGUGGGUAGUUUGACUGGGGCGGUCUCCUCCCAAAGCGUAACGGAGGAGCACGAAGGUUAGCUAAUCCUGGUCGGACAUCAGGAGGUUAGUGCAAUGGCAUAAGCUAGCUUGACUGCGAGCGUGACGGCGCGAGCAGGUGCGAAAGCAGGUCAUAGUGAUCCGGUGGUUCUGAAUGGAAGGGCCAUCGCUCAACGGAUAAAAGGUACUCCGGGGAUAACAGGCUGAUACCGCCCAAGAGUUCAUAUCGACGGCGGUGUUUGGCACCUCGAUGUCGGCUCAUCACAUCCUGGGGCUGAAGUAGGUCCCAAGGGUAUGGCUGUUCGCCAUUUAAAGUGGUACGCGAGCUGGGUUUAGAACGUCGUGAGACAGUUCGGUCCCUAUCUGCCGUGGGCGCUGGAGAAUUGAGGGGGGCUGCUCCUAGUACGAGAGGACCGGAGUGGACGCAUCACUGGUGUUCGGGUUGUCAUGCCAAUGGCACUGCCCGGUAGCUAAAUGCGGAAGAGAUAAGUGCUGAAAGCAUCUAAGCACGAAACUUGCCCCGAGAUGAGUUCUCCCUGAGACUUUAAGUCUCCUGAAGGAACGUUAAAGACGAUGACGUUGAUAGGCCGGGUGUGUAAGCGCAGCGAUGCGUUGAGCUAACCGGUACUAAUGAACCGUGAGGCUUAACCU
rnacentral:rRNA from 1 species